AACUACCCAAGCCAACUCGUGUUAACCCGCCAAGCCUGUGAAUUGGGUCAUGCAACUAGAAUAACUUCAUAAAAAAACAAAACAAAACAAAUCAUGAAGUCUAAUUUCUUAUCAAUAAAAUAUUGAAGGAUAAAAUUAAAAAAGAAAGGUUAAUUAAAAAAAAAAGGAAAAAACCUAAGUCAACAGGUUAAUUCGCCAAACUCAC
rnacentral:lncRNA from 1 species